GCAUUCAUCCUUGUGGCACAAUGCUGGUCACAGGCCUUCAAUCUGAAAAGCAACCCUCCACAACCAUCCUCUGACUUCUACAUUCGAGCCACCUGGAACAAUUAAUUCUGUUUCAUAUCCAGAAAACUGUAAAAUCAAAACUAGCCUGACAUCCAACAGCUACAAAAAAAAAGUGCAGAUGCAUUGAGUGGAUUACUAGCCUAUUUCAGUGGACAUUUAAGAGUCAACCAUUGAGAGUUUGAGGGUCAGGAAUCAGAUGUACAUUAGAUUCGAUCUAGACCAGGUGGAAAGAAAGAGGAUGCCCAAAUUACUCAAAAGCCAAGGAGAAAUAUGGCAUAAAUGUGAUUUAUGAAAAGAAAGACUGGAAACAAUCAUGUCACCAUUAGAGACAAGGAUGUGAUUAAGAGAACACUUCUCGCAGCGGUAGUGUCCUGGUCUUGGGGCCAAGAGUUCUGGAUUCAAGUCCCAACUGCUCCGGGAUAUAUAAUAUUUCUUACAGGUUGAUUAGAAAACAUCUACAAAAGGUGAUUAUAACAGAUGAAAACUA